AUUGAACGCUGGCGGCAGGCCUAACACAUGCAAGUCGAGCGGAUGAUGAGAGCUUGCUCUCUGAUUCAGCGGCGGACGGGUGAGUAAUGCCUAGGAAUCUGCCUGGUAGUGGGGGACAACGUCUCGAAAGGGACGCUAAUACCGCAUACGUCCUACGGGAGAAAGCAGGGGACCUUCGGGCCUUGCGCUAUCAGAUGAGCCUAGGUCGGAUUAGCUAGUUGGUGAGGUAAUGGCUCACCAAGGCGACGAUCCGUAACUGGUCUGAGAGGAUGAUCAGUCACACUGGAACUGAGACACGGUCCAGACUCCUACGGGAGGCAGCAGUGGGGAAUAUUGGACAAUGGGCGAAAGCCUGAUCCAGCCAUGCCGCGUGUGUGAAGAAGGUCUUCGGAUUGUAAAGCACUUUAAGUUGGGAGGAAGGGCAGUAAAUUAAUACUUUGCUGUUUUGACGUUACCGACAGAAUAAGCACCGGCUAACUCUGUGCCAGCAGCCGCGGUAAUACAGAGGGUGCAAGCGUUAAUCGGAAUUACUGGGCGUAAAGCGCGCGUAGGUGGUUUGUUAAGUUGGAUGUGAAAUCCCCGGGCUCAACCUGGGAACUGCAUUCAAAACUGACAAGCUAGAGUAUGGUAGAGGGUGGUGGAAUUUCCUGUGUAGCGGUGAAAUGCGUAGAUAUAGGAAGGAACACCAGUGGCGAAGGCGACCACCUGGACUGAUACUGACACUGAGG
rnacentral:rRNA from 1 species